GACGAACGCUGGCGGCGUGCUUAACACAUGCAAGUCGAACGGAAAGGCCUGCUUUCCCUUGUGGAUUGCGGGUACUCGAGUGGCGAACGGGUGAGUAACACGUGAGUGAUCUGCCCCCAACUUGGGUAUAAGCCUGGGAAACUGGGUCUAAUUCCCGAUAGGACUGCAGGGUGGUGCCUGUGGUGGAAAACGAUUUUCUAGUGGUUGGGGAUGAGCUCGCGGCCUAUCAGCUUGUUGGUGGGGUAAUGGCCUACCAAGGCGGCGACGGGUAGCCGGCAUGAGAGGGUGGACGGCCACAUUGGGACUGGGAUGCGGCCCAGACUCCUACGGGAGGCAGCAGUGGGGAAUAUUGCACAAUGGGCGGAAGCCUGAUGCAGCGACGCCGCGUGGGGGAUGACGGCCUUCGGGUUGUAAACUCCUUUCGACCGCGAGGAAGCCACCUGGUUGGAAGGGUGGUGACGGUAGUGGUAGAAGAAGCACCGGCUAACUACGUG
rnacentral:rRNA from 1 species